rnacentral:rRNA from 1 species
GAUGAACGCUGGCGGCAUGCCUUACACAUGCAAGUCGAACGGUAACAGGUCUUCGGAUGCUGACGAGUGGCGAACGGGUGAGUAAUACAUCGGAACGUGCCCGAGAGUGGGGGAUAACGAGGCGAAAGCUUUGCUAAUACCGCAUACGAUCUCAGGAUGAAAGCAGGGGACCGCAAGGCCUUGCGCUCACGGAGCGGCCGAUGGCAGAUUAGGUAGUUGGUGGGAUAAAAGCUUACCAAGCCGACGAUCUGUAGCUGGUCUGAGAGGACGACCAGCCACACUGGGACUGAGACACGGCCCAGACUCCUACGGGAGGCAGCAGUGGGGAAUUUUGGACAAUGGGCGCAAGCCUGAUCCAGCCAUGCCGCGUGCAGGAUGAAGGCCUUCGGGUUGUAAACUGCUUUUGUACGGAACGAAAAGACUCCUUCUAAUAAAGGGGGUCCAUGACGGUACCGUAAGAAUAAGCACCGGCUAACUACGUGCCAGCAGCCGCCGUAA